rnacentral:lncRNA from 1 species
UUUGAUAUGUUCCAAACGACCACCAUUUAGGAGAAACAGGGAAAACUAAUCAACUCGCAUUAAGCCAAAUAGUAUGUUAGGGUUGAGUAUUAAUAUAUUUUUACUGUACGUUAAGGCAUAAAAUUGUAGAAUAUUUGCAUUCAGAUUUUUUUUUAUUUACGACUUUAUAUUUCCUGCAAUCAUGUCGGCAGAUGAAAUUAUUGAACGUACAAUUUUGAACAAUCUUCUUUAACUUUUAACCAGCUAUUUCAGUUUUUAUAAACCAUUGGCUUUCAAAUAUUCGGCUUUUGGUGAAUCAUGAUUAAUGAAAAUCCACAAAUACCUGGUGUUUUUAUCGUGUUGUCUUUAUUUUUUAUCGAUUGCAUGACGAUCUUGCGGUAUAACAUUGAUAAUUAUUCUAAGUAUUGGUUCAUAAUAAAAACUUAAUCCAUGGUGUCGUAAUGAACAUUGUGUUAACCUAGAAAGUAUGAAUAAGGUUGAGAUAUUUUACAAUGCUACACGCGUUGAAUUUAAGAGUAAAUUCAAAUACCAGUAGUUUGUAGACAGGAUUAUAGCCAGGAUAAUAUUACAAGGUAGAAC